rnacentral:misc_RNA from 1 species
GCUGAAGAACGUAGCGAAAUGCGAUAAGUAAUGUGAAUUGCAGAAUUCAGUGAAUCAUCGAGUCUUUGAACGCACAUUGCGCCCCCUGGUAUUCCGGGGGGCAUGCCUGUCCGAGCGUCAUUGCUGCCCUCAAGCACGGCUUGUGUGUUGGGCUCUCGCCCCCCGCUUCCGGGGGGCGGGCCCGAAAGGCAGCGGCGGCACCGCGUCCGGUCCUCGAGCGUAUGGGGCUUCGUCACCCGCUCUGUAGGCCCGGCCGGCGCCCGCCGGCGAACACCAUCAAUCUUAACCAGGUUGACCUCGGAUCAGGUAGGGAAACCCGCUGAACUUAAGCAUAUCAAUAAGCGGAGGA